rnacentral:lncRNA from 1 species
CAAUGCGUGCUAUGGGUCCUUUUUUCUAACACUUGCAGAAGAUUUCAGCCCCGGCCACGAUGUUUGCUGUCAGCGGAUGGAAAAGUCUUCCUCAAUUGAUGGUUCAUACCCCAUUCUUCUGAAGUGCUGGUUAUGUUCAAAACUCUGCCAGAAAAGGCAGCUUUUAAAGCCUUAAAGCGAACUCUACAACUGAUAGCUCCUCUGCAUGAUAUCGUGGCCUACCUUGUCAGUUUUGCUAAGCUUGGCAAUUGUCCAGCAUGUUUUGAAUUUCCUCGAAGUCCCAACCCUUUGAGAGGUGACUGGGGAGGAACUGAGGGCAUUGAAGAACAUUUUUGGCAGCUGGAAAUGUUCCUGCCUACCAGUCUGUCACAGACGGCAUGUGCCAUGGGCUACCAGCACUGAGCAACUCUCUCAGGAAGAGCAUUUUUGCCUCACAGCUCAGCCUGCCCCAGCCACUGGAUCCACGGAGCCUCCAGGCAUUUGAGCUGUUUCCUUGGAGAGCAUUUCUGGAAGAUGGAGGACCAUUCCCAGUUAUGAGUAACAGCCCAGAUACCCUAGAAUAUAAUAUGCAGGUAGGAUAGGUCUUCUCCAUUGUUGCAGAGAGAACUGAGCGCAGACUGCAAAGAUGGUUGCCAUUGGGUUCACAGGUCAGAUCCUCCUACUCUCACCCACGAUGAAUAAUGUGUGAGAUAAGCAGGGUGUUUGAUUUUGAGGC